rnacentral:rRNA from 1 species
UUGUGGGUCCUGGAUGAGUGGCGAACGGGUGAGUAACACGUGAGUAACCUGCCCCCUUCUUCUGGAUAACCGCAUGAAAGUGUGGCUAAUACGGGAUAUUCUGGGUCUGUCGCAUGGUGGGCCUGGGAAAGAUUGCGCCUUUUUUGGUGUUUUUGGUGGGGGAUGGGCUCGCGGCCUAUCAGCUUGUUGGUGGGGUGAUGGCCUACCAAGGCGGUGACGGGUAGCCGGCCUGAGAGGGUGGACGGUCACACUGGGACUGAGACACGGCCCAGACUCCUACGGGAGGCAGCAGUGGGGAAUAUUGCACAAUGGGCGCAAGCCUGAUGCAGCGACGCCGCGUGAGGGAUGGAGGCCUUCGGGUUGUGAACCUCUUUCGCCAGUGAAGCAGGCCUGCUCCUUUUUUGUGGGUGGGUUGACGGUAGCUGGAUAAGAAGCGCCGGCUAACUACGUGCCAGCAGCCGCGGUAAUACGUAGGGCGCGAGCGUUGUCCGGAAUUAUUGGGCGUAAAGAGCUCGUAGGCGGCUGGUCGCGUCUGUCGUGAAAUCCUCUGGCUUAACUGGGGGCUUGCGGUGGGUACGGGCCGGCUUGAGUGCGGUAGGGGAGACUGGAACUCCUGGUGUAGCGGUGGAAUGCGCAGAUAUCAGGAAGAACACCGGUGGCGAAGGCGGGUCUCUGGGCCGUUACUGACGCUGAGGAGCGAAAGCGUGGGGAGCGAACAGGAUUAGAUACCCUGGUAGUCCACGCCGUAAACGUUGGGCACUAGGUGUGGGGGGCCUUUUCCGGGUCUUCCGCGCCGUAGCUAACGCAUUAAGUGCCCCGCCUGGGGAGUACGGCCGCAAGGCUAAAACUCAAAGGAAUUGACGGGGGCCCGCACAGCGGCGGAGCAUGCGGAUUAAUUCGAUGCACGCGAGACCUUACCAGCUGACAUGUGCCGGUCUGCUCGGAGACGG